UUGCCUGAUGUAAUCCACGUUCUAUUCUUUUUUUAAAGAACAUGAAUAUAUUCAUAACAUGCUACUUGUAAUGAAUGAGAAGUUCUUUUAAGACUGUUCACUUUUUGGUUGAGAUUAUGUGGAAACAUUUCUUCUAUACUA